UCCUUAUUUUGCGUUGGUAAAGCCACGGCUAUGCCCGGUGCUCUGUUGAAUGUCGGAUAAACGUGGCACGUAUUUUAGAAAGAUAUAUUGAAAAAAUUCUCCGUCUGUAUCCUCCUGCAGUGUUGGUAGACAGGAGGUGCGUCAAGCAAUAUACACUGCCCGCUGAACCACGUUGCACCCUGAAACCCGGAGACGGUGUCUACAUACCCAUUUAUGCCCACCACAUGACCCAGAAUACUUCCCCGAUCCUGAGAAAUUUGACCCUGAAAGGUUUAGUGAUGAGAAUAAAGGAAACAUCAAAGCCUGCACAUGUCUGCCAUUUGGAUCAGGCCCUAGGAACUGUAUUGGGGGAAAUGCAUGUUCCAUGGCAUCUUGAACAGCAGCAUUGAGGCCAGCGACAGCAGAAUCCACGGAGGUGGUACCAUACACACACGACCAGUCGUAAGUUGAGAGAUUAUUAUAAAGCAGUGCAUAAUCCCCAGACGAAAAUUUACGGUACAAAUAUUUAUAAUUUUGAAUACAAGUGGCAAGGGACAAACAAAUAUUGAUAAUUAGUGGGGGCUGGUAAUUGUCAGGCUUUAUAAGUCCAGAGUCAACAGGAGUAAUAUUUAUGUCGCUUAAGUUAGAAAAAAUGAAAUAAAGUAGAUUGCUGCCGCUGACAUUAUCAAUGCACUGAUUAAGAUUUAGUAGACACGUGGAAGUGUAGAUCACAUCUCCCUUAAGUUUAGGGUAAUAAUGGGAAUUGGGCAGAGCUAAACCACUUUUCCAGCCGAAACCAGGGGCAUUAAAAUCCCCAACCAUAAUUACUCAAAAAUUAUGGGUAUCCAGAUUGUUUUCUAAAAAACGAAAGUAAUUAGCAUUGUUUUCAGGAUUAGUGUCAGGGGGAAAGUAAUGAUUUCCAGUGAGUAAGUUGAGGCCGUCUGAAGUGGGGAUUUCAACCCAUACACAUUCAUCGCAAGAUUCUAAAUCGUAUCUGCGUUUACAAGAGCGAAUUCUGGAGGAUAGGGCAGUGAGAACUCCACCACCACGUGUCUUAUUUACAGACGCCCUGUCAGAACGGAAAACUGUAUAGCAGUCAGGAAAUAAAUUAUGAUCGUAACACAGGUCGUUAAGCCAUGUCUCAGUUAAACAUAUAAUAUUGUAGUCCGUGGAGCAGAUAUUGUCAUAUAGUUCGACAUGUUUAGUUCUAAGACCUCUGACAUUUUAGUAAUAUAUGUCAAAACAUUUUCCAGGAUGCUUGCGAGACCUGGCAAAACAACCUGUGUUGUUAUCAGGCUUGAUAACCAUUAACUAUGUACAGAAGCGCCCUCCCCCUGGGCAACAACAUUGUUUACCGUAUUUACGGAAUUGCCUACAGGAUCCAUGGGUGGAGGAGUAAGGGGACGAUCAUUACCUGCACCAGGGGAGCAAGGCCGAGAAAUCUCUGAUUCUUCAACACUAUAAAUUUGUUCAGGGCUUAAUCGCCCAUAAAAAGG